GUUUGUAUAUCUUGCCUUCUUCUGCUGACUCUCCUCCUCUAUAGGAACAAUGUUGUGAGUCCUGUGGUCUCCUUCAGUGCAGGACAGACACACACUCGUCUGAUCAUCUCUGCAGAACAGAUCCAGAGGUCUCUCGUGUUUCUGGCAUAUAUAAUCCUCCAGAUUUUCCACAGCGUUGAUCAGUUUGUGUUUCUUUAGACGUGGGACUCUGUGAUGAGGCUCCAGAUGAGUCUCACAGUAAGAGCUUUGACACAUCAGGCAGGACUUCACAGCUUUCUGCUUUCUUUCAUCACAGAUGUCACAAAACACUUCAGAUCCUAGAUUGAGCUUUUCCUGAAAGUGCUGCACAACCUCUCUGAGUGUUGUAUUAAUCUUGAGAUCAGGUCUUCUGCUGAAUGUUUCUUUACAGAGUGGACAGAAGCAGGUCUGUGUGUUUGUCCAGCACUUGUUCAGGCAGGUUCUGCAGAAGUUGUGUCCACAUGGAGUGGUGACUGGAUCAGUGAACACAUCCAGACAGAUGGAGCACUGGAGCUC